rnacentral:rRNA from 1 species
GAUGAACGCUAGCGGCAGGCCUAAUACAUGCAAGCUGAACGGUAAAUAUUGUAGCAAUACGAUAUGAGAGUAGCGUAAGGGUGCGUAACACGUAUGCAAUCUGCCCGCAACAGGAGGAUAGCUCCCCGAAAGGGGAAUUAAUACUCCAUAAUAUCACGAGAGGGCAUCUGAUUGUGAUUAAACUCCAAGGGGUUGCGGAUGAGCAUGCGUCUGAUUAGUUAGUUGGUGAGGUAACGGCUCACCAAGACGAUGAUCAGUAGGGGAACUGAGAGGUUGAGCCGCAACACUGGCACUGAGAGACGGGCCAGACUCCGUCGGGAGGCAGGAGUAGGGAAUAUUGGUCAAUGGGUGAAAGCCUGAACCAGCCAUGCCGCGUGCAGGAAGACGGCCUUCUGGGUUGUAAACUGCUUUUGCCAGGGGAUAAAAUACCCAUGCGUGAGGAAUUGAAGGUACCUGGUGAAUAAGCCACGGCUAACUACGUGCCAGCCGCCGCCGUAAAAC